CGAGUUGUUCUCCGGAGCACGAGAAGCGCCGCGGUCCCACCACCACUUCCCCCCGGAAAAAAGAGCCGCAAACACCGAGGACCCCCCCCCCCCGUUACUCCACCAGACGCAGCUCAGAGCGGCUCCUGCGUGGGGGGCAGUUGGGCAGUUUCUCAAAAAGCUGUGCAGGUGACUGUGGUGGCGGCGGUGUCCAUGCGUAUCACAGGUAUCACACAUGACGUGCACGUUGCGCGUGCGUUUCAACCUCGGUCACCUGUAGCUCGCUCGUCCUACAAAAGAGAGCUUACUUGCAGCAAAAGCGUGUUUUCUGUUCCGAUCCGAUUAGGAUCACGAAAGCGCGAUGCCGGUUUACUUGUUUCCCGUGGAUGAAGAUGUUCUGCCGUGAUCGCUGCUUCCCCCACUUCCCAUCACCCUGCGGAUCAAAGAAGCAUGAAUAUUAAUCAGAGUGAUGGCCAAACAUGAACAUAGGGGAGGAAGGUGGGAGAUGGAAAGAGAAGCCCAG
ensembl:lncRNA